GCCUAAAUCACUGAAAUAAAAGUACAAGCGCACUGACUGUUAAUCAGGGGGCGUUGGUUCGAGUCCGACAUCGGGCGCCA
rnacentral:tRNA from 1 species